GAUGAACGCUGGCGGCGUGCCUAAUACAUGCAAGUCGAGCGAACGGACGAGAAGCCUGCUUCUCUGAUGUUAGCGGCGGACGGGUGAGUAACACGUGGAUAACCUACCUAUAAGACUGGGAUAACUUCGGGAAACCGGAGCUAAUACCGGAUAAUAUUUUGAACCGCAUGGUUCAAAAGUGAAAGACGGUCUUGCUGUCACUUAUAGAUGGAUCCGCGCUGCAUUAGCUAGUUGGUAAGGUAACGGCUUACCAAGGCAACGAUGCAUAGCCGACCUGAGAGGGUGAUCGGCCACACUGGAGCUGAGACACGGUCCAGACUCCUACGGGAGGCAGCAGUAGGGAAUCUUCCGCAAUGGGCGAAAGCCUGACGGAGCAACGCCGCGUGAGUGAUGAAGGUCUUCGGAUCGUAAAACUCUGUUAUUAGGGAAGAACAUAUGUGUAAGUAACUGUGCACAUCUUGACGGUACCUAAUCAGAAAGCCACGGCUAACUACGUG
rnacentral:rRNA from 1 species